rnacentral:tRNA from 1 species
CAAGAGGUAGUUUAAGUUAAAAUAUUAGUUUUGGGAACUGUUGAUGAGAGGUUACUCUUUCUCUUGA